rnacentral:rRNA from 1 species
UACGUAGGGUGCAAGCGUUAAUCGGAAUUACUGGGCGUAAAGCGUGCGCAGGCGGUUGUGCAAGACAGAUGUGAAAUCCCCGGGCUUAACCUGGGAACUGCAUUUGUGACUGCACGGCUAGAGUGUGUCAGAGGGGGGUAGAAUUCCGCGUGUAGCAGUGAAAUGCGUAGAUAUGUGGAGGAACACCAAUGGCGAAGGCAGCCCCCUGGGCCGAUACUGACGCUCAUGCACG